UGAGAUAUCUGUGGAGAAGCUACAGUCUCUUCUAGACCUUGCUUUGCGAUCUACUGCAGCUGGUGCAGAUCCUUGCCAUGAGGACUUGUUAUGUUGUGUGGAGAGGACUACUUUAUUGAAAAGAUUGAGUACAUUGAAAGAUCUUGAAAUCAGCCGGUCUGCUCCAGAUAGCAAUGAUUUAGAGGAGCCACUGAGCAUAACUGGCUUGGAAACUUUUUCUUUGAAUUACAAGGUUAGAUGGCCCUUAUCUCUUGUAAUAUCAAGGAAAGCCUUGACAAAAUAUCAGUUGAUUUUCAGAUUUCUAUUUCACUGUAAGCAUGUUGAUAGGCAACUCUCUGGAGCAUGGCAAGUACAUCAGGGUCUCCGCAAGCUUG
rnacentral:misc_RNA from 1 species